rnacentral:piRNA from 1 species
UUCUUCAAACUCAAAUGUGCCUGGCAAC